GGGGAUGACUGGAUUUGACAGCGGGUAGAGAUUAUUUGUAAGCAUGCAGUGCGCUGGUGGCUAGCACUAUAAUCUUUGGAGACCAAAAAUUUAACUGGCGAAAAUAAUAUGGCUCUUGCUGCUUAAUCGAAGUAUAGUAGAUUAGCUUUAUCCUGGCACAAGGUGUUAGGACGAGACUUCUUCCGGAUGCCCUUCCUUGAGGCGGUCCGAUCCGAAGGAGCAGGUAAUUCAAGGAUAGUUUUUGUACGCCUCGUUGCAGAAAUGAAAUUUUAGAGGAUAAGGUAGUAGUUGGUGGUCUUGGUCUUGCUAUUGCACGAAAAUUUAGUCAAGAAUAAGCAUGUAGAAAGCAUUUAGUGUCCUCGUUUGGACCAGGGUUCGACUCCCUGCAUCUCCACAG
rnacentral:tmRNA from 1 species